rnacentral:rRNA from 1 species
AGGCAGCAGCUAGGAAGUCUUGGGAAUGGGCGAAAGCCUGACCCAGCAACGCCGCGUGGGCGAUGAAGGCCUUCGGGUCGUAAAGCCCUUUUGCGAGGGAAGAUUAUGACGGUACCUCGCGAAUAAGCCACGGCUAACUACGUGCCAGCAGCCGCGGUAAUACGUAGGUGGCGAGCGUUGUCCGGAUUUACUGGGCGUAAAGGGCGUGCAGGCGGUUCGUUAAGUUCGAGGUGAAAGCUCCCGGCUCAACUGGGAGAGGUCCCCGGAUACUGGCGGACUUGAGGGAGGCAGAGGAAAGUGGAAUUCCCGGUGUAGUGGUGAUAGUGCGUAGAUAUCGGGAGGAACACCAGUGGCGAAGGCGGCUUUCUGGGCCUUACCUGACGCUGAGACGCGAAAGCGUGGGGAGCGAACCGGAUUAGAUACCCGGGUAGUCCACGCCGUAAACGAUGGACACUAGGUGUGGGGGGUAUCGACCCCCUCCGUGCCGAAGCUAACGCAAUAAGUGUCCCGCCUGGGGAGUACGGCCGCAAGGCUA